GACGAACGCUGGCGGCGCGCUUAACACAUGCAAGUCGAGCGAGAACCAGAGCUUCGGUUCUGGGGACAGCGGCGAACGGGUGAGUAACACGUGGGUAAUCUGCCCUCGGCACCGGAAUAGCCCGGGGCAACCCGGAUUAAUGCGGGAUGGCCCCCCCGCCUUUCGAGGCGGUGGGCAAAGGUUGCUUCGGCCUCUGGCCGAGGAUGAGCCCGCGGCGGCUUAGCUUGUUGGCGGGGUAACGGCCCACCAAGGCGAAGAUCCGUAGCUGGUCUGAGAGGACGAUCAGCCACACUGGGACUGAGACACGGCCCAGACUCCUACGGGAGGCAGCAGUGGGGAUCUUGCGCAAUGGGCGAAAGCCUGACGCAGCGACGCCGCGUGCGGGAAGAAGGCCUUCGGGUUGUAAACCGCUUUCAGGAGGGACGAAGCCACUCGGGUGAACAGCCCAGAGGGUGACGGUACCUCCAGAAGAAGCCCCGGCUAACUACGUGCCAGCCGCCGCGGUAACAC
rnacentral:rRNA from 1 species